AAGCAGCAAUAGCUCAAAUUUGAAAUCUGGCGUCUUCGACGUCCGAGUUGUAAUUUGUAGAGGAUGCUUCUGAGUGGCCACCGACCUAAGUUCCUUGGAACAGGACGUCAUAGAGGGUGAGAAUCCCGUAUGCGGUCGGAAAGGCGCUCUAUACGUAGCUCCUUCGACGAGUCGAGUUGUUUGGGAAUGCAGCUCUAAAUGGGAGGUAAAUUUCUCUAAAGCUAAAUAUUGGCCAGAGACCGAUAGCGCACAAGUAGAGUGAUCGAAAGAUGAAAAGCACUUUGGAAAGAGAGUUAAAAAGCACGUGAAAUUGUUAAAAGGGAAGGGAUUGCAACCAGACUUGCUCGCGGUGUUCCGCCGGUCUUCUGACCGGUCUACUCGCCGCGUUGCAGGCCAGCAUCGUCUGGUGCCGCUGGAUAAGACUUGAGGAAUGUAGCUCCCUCGGGAGUGUUAUAGCCUCUUGUGAUGCAGCGAGCGCCGGGCGAGGUCCG
rnacentral:rRNA from 1 species